GUCUCCUGGGAGGAUCCUUCAUGAUCCCCAUGCUGAUCCAUGAGAAUAUUUGACCUACUUCUGCUACGAGUUGCUAUGGGUAAUCGAUUUUUUUUGUUAGCUGGAGUGGUAGCAGGAGAGAGCUGUGGGGUAUUAUACGGAGUCAUUUCAAGGCUGCUACUCUUCCCUGGUUUGUUCUGGGGUAAGUUUGCUAGCAAGUUUUCCAAAGCCAUCCGAUCUUCCUUAAGUUGAUCACUCAACAUUACAUUUCGCAUGAAACCAACCAGGGUAGUUAGCUGGCUG
rnacentral:lncRNA from 1 species